AGACAAUGGGUGCCUCACUUAGAGUGAAGUCUCGCGUCUCAUUCCUGAUCUGAAAUGACCCACAUGGAUUCACACUGUCUCAGAACCUUUAUUUCUUUGAGAUAUAUAUAUAUAUAUUUUCUGGAAGCUUGGAAAGUCCUGGGGGUGUUCUAUGAAUAGGCAAUCAAUAUGGACUUCAUUGAAAUAUCGUGUGUCAAUUGGAUUUCAUCCCUUAAUCACACUGGCAGAGAAAAGAGGGUAGUGGCUGCUUUGGAGAAUGGAGGAAGCCAGAAAGAAGAUAAAGAGUGAAGAUACAAGAAGACAACGGGAUAAGAUUCAGGGAAGAGAGAAGGUCAUAGAGCUGAGAAGGAAUUGACUUUUCUUCAUGUUAAGGGUGGCAGAGGGGAAGACUUCAGCUGAUCACUAUUCAGGUACAUCUGGAUCCAGGAAUAAGAAACCGUAUGGUGUCCAACUCCUUCAAAAUGGAUCUCAGAUGUCAGGAAAAAGAUCAAGGUCAUAAACUCAGAUGUUGCUUCUAUUAGUCAGGUAUGAGCUCUGCUGCUGUUGCUGCUAAGUCACUUCAGUCAUGUCCGGCUCUGUGCAAC
ensembl:lncRNA